rnacentral:ncRNA from 1 species
CGGGCCGGGGCCGCGGGCGGUAAAAGACCAAAGAACCUGGGGAAAAAACCCGCCCAACCAACCAAACCUCGUGUGUGUCACCCGGGUGGGUGAAACCGGUCGGUGCGGCUGGCGCGUCGGUGGCCCGGACGUGCAGUCUCGCCCCAAGGCACCACCACAACCCCACACAUGCAUCGGCCCCCGCCGGGACUGCCAUCCCGAGCGAGGGCCUGACCAACGAGGAAGCGAGCCCUUCCCC